AUAUAUAUACUCCUUUGCUAUAUUGAUGGAAUAUAUGAGAAUUUAUUAUUGAUCCCUACAAUUUUUUCAACUCGUCUGGCAUUGAUUCUUCUUGGGUGCGACACUCAACAUCUGUUUCAGGAGCAUCCGGCAGUGCACAUCAUCAUCAUUUACUGUCUGUUGUCCAUGGGUUGGAAUAAUAUAUAGUGUGUUUUGCACCAAAGGCCAAUGAGAAUUUUGCUGAUGGUAACUAUUUUAGUCUAGCUGGUUGUAACAGAAAAUCCCUAUUUAAGUGGGGAUAAAUAUAGACAUA